GACGAACGCUGGCGGCGUGCUUAACACAUGCCAGUCGAACGGAAAGGCCCUGCUUGCAGGGUACUCGAGUGGCGAACGGGUGAGUAACACGUGGGUGAUCUGCCCUGCACUUCGGGAUAAGCCUGGGAAACUGGGUCUAAUACCGGAUAUGACCUUCCAUGUAGUGUGGGGGGUGGAAAGAUUUAUCGGUGUGGGAUGAGCCCGCGGCCUAUCAGCUUGUUGGUGGGGUAAUGGCCUACCAAGGCGUCGACGGGUAGCCGGCCUGAGAGGGUGGACGGCCACAUUGGGACUGAGAUACGGCCCAGACUCCUACGGGAGGCAGCAGUGGGGAAUAUUGCACAAUGGGCGGAAGCCUGAUGCAGCGACGCCGCGUGGGGGAUGACGGCCUUCGGGUUGUAAACCUCCUUCGACAGGGACGAAGCUUCGGUGACGGUACCUGUAGAAGAAGCACCGGCUAACUACGUG
rnacentral:rRNA from 1 species